CUACGGGCCGCAGCAGUGAGGAAUAUUGCACAAUGGAGGAAACUCUGAUGCAGCAACGCCGCGUGGAGGAUGACGCAUUUCGGUGUGUAAACUCCUUUUAUAUGUCAAGAAAAUGACGGUAGCAUAUGAAUAAGCACCGGCUAACUCCGUGCCAGCAGCCGCGGUAAUACGGAGGGUGCAAGCGUUACUCGGAAUCACUGGGCGUAAAGGACGCGUAGGCGGGAUAUCAAGUCAGGUGUGAAAUCCUACAGCUUAACUGUAGAACUGCACUUGAAACUGGUAACCUAGAGUAUGGGAGGGGGAGAUGGAAUUAGUGGUGUAGGGGUAAAAUCCGUAGAUAUCACUAGGAAUACCUAAAGCGAAGGCGAUCUCCUGGAACAUAACUGACGCUAAGGCGUGAAAGCGUGGGGAGCAAACAGGAUUAGAUACCCCUGUAGUC
rnacentral:rRNA from 1 species